rfam:Chlorocebus sabaeus isolate 1994-021 chromosome 2, whole genome shotgun sequence.
GCUGGGUGUGGUGGUGUGUGCCUAUAGUCUCAGCUAUUCGGGAGGCUGAGGGAACAGGGUCACUUGAGUACAGAAGUUCCGGGCUUUAGUGCGCUAUGCUGAUCGGGUGUGCUCACUACGUUCAGCAUCAAUAUGGUGACCUGUGGGUAGUGGGAAACCACACAAGGCUGUGUAAGGAGGGGUGAACCAGUCCAGGUCAGAAAUAGAGUAUGUCAGACCUGUACAGAUAGGUAGUGGGCUUGUGUCUACGAAUAGUUACUGCACUUGAGCCUGGGUAACAUACUGAGACUCCAUCUA